AUUGAACGCUGGCGGCAGGCCUAACACAUGCAAGUCGAACGUGUGGCGGACGGGUGAGUAAUGUCUGGGAAACUGCCCGAUGGAGGGGGAUAACUACUGGAAACGGUAGCUAAUACCGCAUACCAUCGGAUGUGCCCAGAUGGAGUUAGCUGGUAGGUGGGGUAACGGCUCACCUAGGCGACGAACCCUAGCUGGUCUGAGAGGAUGACCAGCCACACGGGAACUGGGACACGGUCCGGCGUCCUACGGGUGGCGGCAGUGGGGAAUAUUGGACAAGGAGCGAAAGCCGACUGCGGCCAUGCCGCGUGUAGAAGGAGGGCCUUCGGGUUGUAAAGUACGUUCAGCGAGAAGGCGUUACUCGAAGAGGAAGCACCGGCUAACUCCGUGCCAGCAGCCGCGGUAAUAC
rnacentral:rRNA from 1 species